UGGGGAAUAUUGCACAAUGGGGGGAAACCCUGAUGCAGCGACGCCGCGUGAGCGAAGAAGUAUUUCGGUAUGUAAAGCUCUAUCAGCAGGGAAGAUAAUGACGGUACCUGACUAAGAAGCCCCGGUUAACUACGUGCC
rnacentral:rRNA from 1 species